AUUCCCAUUCGUGAGUUCAAGAGGAGAGGAGAGAGAGUGAAUUCAUCUUCUUCACCAAUCUUCAAGAUCCAUAGCCAAAUUUCCUUCUCAACUCUCAAUUUGUUCGGAUUUAAGGUGAAAUUUGGGGAAAAUCAUCCAAGAUCACUUCUAAGGAAUUGUUGACCACUUUGAGGUAAGGAAUCCCUUAAGUUGGAGUAGUCACUUGAAAUUGGAUAAUUGAUUUUUUUGGUUGAUAUAUAUAUAUAUGUAUAAAUUGUUGGGAUGAUGAGAAGUGGUAGUUGAUAUGCCUAAAUAUCUAAGUUAGAAGUGCUAGUAUAUAGUAUAUAUAUAUACGUGUGAUGUAUGUAUAUGGAUAUGUAUGUAUCACAACAACAAGAUGUUGUAUGUUGAUGGAGUGUUGUUGGUUAAGAGCUUAUACUUGUGGAAAUAUUGGAGAAAAAUCAGGGUAGUCUCUGGCAGUAACUUCCGAAA